CUAUGGGGUUUGCCUUACCAUGCAAGUCGAACGGCAGCACGGGUGCUUGCACCUGGUGGCGAGUGGCGAACGGGUGAGUAAUACAUCGGAACAUGUCCUGUAGUGGGGGAUAGCCCGGCGAAAGCCGGAUUAAUACCGCAUACGAUCUCUGGAUGAAAGCGGGGGACCUUCGGGCCUCGCGCUAUAGGGUUGGCCGAUGGCUGAUUAGCUAGUUGGUGGGGUAAAGGCCUACCAAGGCGACGAUCAGUAGCUGGUCUGAGAGGACGACCAGCCACACUGGGACUGAGACACGGCCCAGACUCCUACGGGAGGCAGCAGUGGGGAAUUUUGGACAAUGGGCGAAAGCCUGAUCCAGCAAUGCCGCGUGUGUGAAGAAGGCCUUCGGGUUGUAAAGCACUUUUGUCCGGAAAGAAAUCCUUGGCUCUAAUACAGUCGGGGGAUGACGGUACCGGAAGAAUAAGCACCGGCUAACUACGUGCCAGACC
rnacentral:rRNA from 1 species